GACGAACGCUGGCGGCGUGCUUAACACAUGCAAGUCGAACGGUAAGGCCCUUCGGGGUACACGAGUGGCGAACGGGUGAGUAACACGUGGGUGAUCUGCCCUGCACUUCGGGAUAAGCCUGGGAAACUGGGUCUAAUACCGGAUAGGACCACUGCCCGCAUGGGUGGUGGUGGAAAGCUUUUGCGGUGUGGGAUGGGCCCGCGGCCUAUCAGCUUGGUGGUGGGGUGAUGGCCUACCAAGGCGACGACGGGUAGCCGGCCUGAGAGGGUGACCGGCCACACUGGGACUGAGAUACGGCCCAGACUCCUACGGGAGGCAGCAGUGGGGAAUAUUGCACAAUGGGCGCAAGCCUGAUGCAGCGACGCCGCGUGAGGGAUGACGGCCUUCAGGUUGUGAACCUCUUUCAGCACCGACGAAGCGCAAGUGACGGUAGGUGCAGAAGAAGGACCGGCCAACUACGUGCCAGCCGCCGCCGUAA
rnacentral:rRNA from 1 species